rnacentral:rRNA from 1 species
UAACUGAAGAGUUUGAUCAUGGCUCAGAUUGAACGCUGGCGGCAGGCUUAACACAUGCAAGUCGAGCGGGGGAAG